rnacentral:rRNA from 1 species
UACGUAGGGUGCGAGCGUUGUCCGGAAUUAUUGGGCGUAAAGGGCGCGUAGGCGGCUUGGCAAGUCAAAGGUGAAAUCCCUCGGCUCAACUGAGGAACUGCCUUUGAAACUGCCUGGCUUGAGGCCGGGAGGGGGUAGCGGAAUUCCCAGUGUAGCGGUGAAAUGCGUAGAUAUUGGGAGGGACACCAGUGGCGAAGGCGACUACCUGGCCUGUUCUUGACGCUGAGGCGCGAAAGCUAGGGGAGCAAACGGG